UACGUAGGGUGCAAGCGUUGUCCGGAAUUAUUGGGCGUAAAGAGCUCGUAGGCGGCUUGUUGCGUCUGCCGUGAAAGUCCGGGGCUCAACUCCGGAUCUGCGGUGGGUACGGGCAGACUAGAGUGAUGUAGGGGAGACUGGAAUUCCUGGUGUAGCGGUGAAAUGCGCAGAUAUCAGGAGGAACACCGAUGGCGAAGGCAGGUCUCUGGACAUUAACUGACGCUGAGGAGCGAAAGCAUGGGGAGCGAACAGG
rnacentral:rRNA from 1 species